CUUGGGGUGGGGGGGUAACUCAGCCUGGAUUGCAAGAGGGCACAGGCCAGGCCGAGGAACCUCACCGCUGCAUG
rnacentral:pre_miRNA from 1 species